CCAAAGGCUCUUUUCAGAGCCACCCAAACGUUUCUUUCGGAAGGGCU
rfam:Mesocricetus auratus contig191431, whole genome shotgun sequence.